rnacentral:tRNA from 1 species
GCGCCCUUAGCUCAGCUGGAUAGAGCACCUCCCUUCUAAGGAGGUGGUCGAAGGUUCUUAUAAAGCAUAAGAGUGUA